GAUGAACGCUGGCGGCGUGCCUAAUACAUGCAAGUCGAGCGAACGGACGAGAAGCUUGCUUCUCUGAUGUUAGCGGCGGACGGGUGAGUAACACGUGGAUAACCUACCUAUAAGACUGGGAUAACUUCGGGAAACCGGAGCUACUACCGGAUAAUAUUUUGAACCGCAUGGUUCAAAAGUGAAAGACGGUCUUGCUGUCACUUAUAGAUGGAUCCGCGCUGCAUUAGCUAGUUGGUAAGGUAACGGCUUACCAAGGCAACGAUGCAUAGCCGACCUGAGAGGGUGAUCGGCCACACUGGAACUGAGACACGGUCCAGACUCCUACGGGAGGCAGCAGUAGGGAAUCUUCCGCAAUGGGCGAAAGCCUGAUGGAGCAACGCCGCGUGAGUGAUGAAGGUCUUCGGAUCGUAAAACUCUGUUAUUAGGGAAGAACAUAUGUGUAAGUAACUGUGCACAUCUUGACGGUACCUAAUCAGAAAGCCACGGCUAACUACGUG
rnacentral:rRNA from 1 species